AUGGAGGCACCGCCUCUCAUGGUUGUGUUAGAAUAUAAGCAUAACUUUAAAAUAGUAUCCACUGAUUGUAUGAGGUGCUACUUGUAAUGCUGAGGUUAUCCCUCAAAAGCAUUGAUUCAAUCAUUUUCACUUCCAUGGGAGUGCAAAAUAAACAUAUGCCUAGGGCCCCCAUAGGAGCCAACGAAGUCAUUUUUGCUUCAGAGCUAAACCAGUUUUUCUUCUCUCCACAGCAAAUAUCUUGACAGUGAUCAUCCUCUCCCAGCUGGUGGCAAGAAGGCAGAAGUCCUCCUACAACUAUCUCUUGGCACUUGCUGCUGCCGACAUCUUGGUCCUCUUUUUCAUAGUGUUUGUGGACUUCCUGUUGGAAGAUUUCAUCUUGAACAUGCAGAUGCCUCAGGUCCCCGACAAGAUCAUAGAAGUGCUGGAAUUCUCAUCCAUCCACACCUCCAUAUGGAUUACUGUUCCAUUAACCAUUGACAGAUAUAUCGCUGUCUGCCACCCGCUCAAGUACCACACAGUCUCAUACCCAGCCCGCACCCGGAAAGUCAUUGUAAGUGUUUACAUCACCUGCUUCCUUACCAGCAUCCCCUAUUACUGGUGGCCCAACAUCUGGACUGAAGACUACAUCAGCACCUCUGUGCAUCACGUCCUCAUCUGGAUCCACUGCUUCACCGUCUACCUGGUGCCCUGCUCCAUCUUUUUCAUCUUGAACUCAAUCAUUGUGUACAAGCUCAGGAGGAAGAGCAAUUUUCGUCUCCGUGGCUACUCCACGGGGAAGACCACCGCCAUCUUGUUCACCAUCACCUCCAUCUUUGCCACACUUUGGGCCCCCCGCAUCAUCAUGAUUCUUUACCACCUCUAUGGGGCGCCCAUCCAGAACCGCUGGCUGGUGCACAUCAUGUCCGACAUUGCCAACAUGCUAGCCCUUCUGAACACAGCCAUCAACUUCUUCCUCUACUGCUUCAUCAGCAAGCGGUUCCGCACCAUGGCAGCCGCCACGCUCAAGGCUUUCUUCAAGUGCCAGAAGCAACCUGUACAGUUCUACACCAAUCAUAACUUUUCCAUAACAAGUAGCCCCUGGAUCUCGCCGGCAAACUCACACUGCAUCAAGAUGCUGGUGUACCAGUAUGACAAAAAUGGAAAACCUAUAAAAGUAUCCCCGUGA